GUUGAGGUUCUUGCCAGCAGAGCCAUCUGUCAAGAGAUUACAGAGAAGGAAAUUUCUGCAGGAAUCUUCCCCUGGGACCAGAUAAAGUGCCAAGAAAAGGUGUGUGGCAUCAGGAGUGAGGACAAACUCUGAGAGUCCUCUGCAGUGCUUAUCACAGACAGAGAGGAAACCAUCCACCCACUGGUACUCAAGGAAGAGGAAGAGAAGAGAGGGAAGUCUCUGGAUUGCUUUUGACCAGAGAAGUGAGGCUGGAUUGAAAAGAGCUGACAAGAGCAAAUUCCUUAUAAGGGGCAGGUUCUGUGCUGGCCAAGUACCUGAGAAGGAUCUGAAGAGGACAAUGAUGGCCUACAGAGGGUCAAUCCAGACCAUUGUGAACGCUCUGUCAGCAGACAUGCUGGGCAACUGCCAGGUGUUUGAGGAGACCCUGACUGGAGAAGGCCAUGGCUUACCCAUGAGAAACGAUAAACUCUCUCUUGUGGUUGAUAUUUAUGGGAAUGCAAGCUGACAGACACAUGAAUUGCACUUUGGAAGAACUUCCUCCAACCUCAAUCACUUUUAAUCAAGCUGUUCCUGAUGGAAGAUACAUCUCAAAUAAGCAAAGUGCUCAUGGUAUAAAAUUAUUGAUAUGAACUGUAAAUGAAAACAAAGCUACUUGGUCCGUUAAAAUGUUCUCUUUCAUGCUGAUUUAUUGCAGAAAAAUAAUAAAUUGCAGCCUCUUCUUUUUCCUCUGACAUAUUUGGGAUACUUUACAUGACUUUGAAAUGGCUUAAUUAUUUUACUACCCACUGUAGAAUAUUCUAAGGAGGGGAAGAAAAACAUGUAUUUACUUUCCUGUGGCCAUUUCUUACUGUCUGAUCCAGUGCUUGGGAAUACCAAAGAUAUUGUUUAAUGGGAAAGAAAAAAAUAAAUCAAAGGUAUCAAAAAUUAUAUUAGAAGUUACUUGAUAAGCGGUAAUCAAUCCAUUCACCACGUGGUCUGUAGUAUAAAGACACUGCAAGUUCUCUGAUACCCACAUCUGCUAAUCAAGUUACCAGUAAAGGGGCUGUAGAUAAGGAUGCUCCUGAAAUUGACCAUAAGUUCUAGUUACUAUUUAAAAAGCACUAGAAAGAUGUAGUCUUUUCCACCACAUUCACACAAAGAAGUUUCUUUAUACCCUCACUAUUUCUUUCUUGGGAUAACCUCUUUUGUUCUAUCAGAUUGUACAGAUUGAAUUUGCUGUGAAAUUAUGUUUUCUGCUAGCUAUGAAAGAACAAGAAUUUCAGUAUACCACUGACAAAGCCAUCAUAUUCUUUUAUUUAUUAUGUAUAAAGCAUCUAUUAUGAUUUAGACACUUACAAAAGCUAGCAUUUAUUAAAACAUUUCAUAUAUUUAAAUAUGUUUGGUUUCAAAGAUAAACUAUAUUAUAUCUUGUUUGUUUGAAUAAAAUGUUUGUCUCACUUUUCAGC
rnacentral:lncRNA from 1 species